rnacentral:rRNA from 1 species
AGAGUUUGAUCCUGGCUCAGGAUGAACGCUGACAGAAUGCUUAACACAUGCAAGUCUACUUGAACUUCGGUUUGGGUGGCGGACGGGUGAGUAACGCGUAAAGAACUUGCCUCACAGUUAGGGACAACAUUUGGAAACGAAUGCUAAUACCUGAUAUUAUGAUUUUAGGGCAUCCUAAGAUUAUGAAAGCUAUAUGCGCUGUGAGAGAGCUUUGCGUCCCAUUAGCUAGUUGGAGAGGUAACGGCUCACCAAGGCGAUGAUGGGUAGCCGGCCUGAGAGGGUGAACGGCCACAAGGGGACUGAGACACGGCCCUUACUCCUACGGGAGGCAGCAGUGGGGAAUAUUGGACAAUGGACCAAAAGUCUGAUCCAGCAAUUCUGUGUGCACGAUGACGUUUUUCGGAAUGUAAAGUGCUUUCAGUUGGGAAGAAAAAAAUGACGGUACCAACAGAAGAAGUGACGGCUAAAUACGUGCCAGCAGCCGCGGUAAUACGUAUGUCACAAGCGUUAUCCGGAUUUAUUGGGCGUAAAGCGCGUCUAGGUGGUUAUGUAAGUCUGAUGUGAAAAUGCAGGGCUCAACUCUGUAUUGCGUUGGAAACUGUAUGACUAGAGUACUGGAGAGGUAAGCGGAACUACAAGUGUAGAGGUGAAAUUCGUAGAUAUUUGUAGGAAUGCCGAUGGGGAAGCCAGCUUACUGGACAGAUACUGACGCUAAAGCGCGAAAGCGUGGGUAGCAAACAGGAUUAGAUACCCUGGUAGUCCACGCCGUAAACGAUG